CCUACGGGUGGCUGCAGUGGGGAAUAUUGCACAAUGGGCGCAAGCCUGAUGCAGCCAUGCCGCGUGUGUGAAGAAGGCCUUCGGGUUGUAAAGCACUUUCAGCGGGGAGGAAGGCGUUAAGGUUAAUAACCUUGGCGAUUGACGUUACCCGCAGAAGAAGCACCGGCUAACUCCGUGCCAGCAGCCGCGGUAAUACGGAGGGUGCAAGCGUUAAUCGGAAUUACUGGGCGUAAAGCGCACGCAGGCGGUCUGUCAAGUCGGAUGUGAAAUCCCCGGGCUCAACCUGGGGACCGCAUUCGAAACUGGCAGGCUAGAGUCUUGUAGAGGGGGGUAGAAUUCCAGGUGUAGCGGUGAAAUGCGUAGAGAUCUGGAGGAAUACCGGUGGCGAAGGCGGCCCCCUGGACAAAGACUGACGCUCAGGUGCGAAAGCGUGGGGAGCAAACAGGAUUAGUACCCGAGUAGUC
rnacentral:rRNA from 1 species